ACUGAAUAGAUACCCUGGUAGUCCACGCCGUAAACGGUGGGCGCUAGGUGUGGGGAUUGUUUCCACGAUCUCCGUGCCGUAGCUAAACGCAUUAAGCGCCCCGCCUGGGGAGUACGGCCGCAAGGCUAAAAACUCAAAGGAAUUGACGGGGGCCCGCACAAGCGGCGGAGCAUGCGGCUUAAUUCGAUGCAACGCGAAGAACCUUACCUGGGCUUGACAUGGAGACUAAUCCGGCAGAGAUGUCGGGUCCUGGGUCGUCACACAGUGGUGCAUGGCUGUCGUCAGCUCGUGUCGUGAGAUG
rnacentral:rRNA from 1 species